UAUCUCCUUCUCUUCGCAUGUGAGGUCAGUGCUUCAGAGCCUUCCUCUCCCUCAUUCUCUUCCUAUCUCGCCGGUCAGUCGUCGCUAGGAACACCAGCCGCCGCCCAGAGCACCAGCCGAUACCGCCCUGCCCACCGCAAACGUCUGAGCACCCCCUUCGCACACGUUACGUCAUUCACGCAGCCCCCUACACGCCGGUCGUGCAGCCCUCCAGCCGGUGGAUUUCACCGUCCCAUAAUCUUCAUCCGCGACAUACAGGAGACAGAUGGAAGCUAGGGCGGCGGUAGCAGGACGCAACCCACAAGCUGUGUACCGGUGCGGGAGAGAGCAGCGAGCCAAGCACCAGGGAUGCGCGACCGAAACGAGGAAGGCCUGCCCCGACGUGGGCUGCCGGCGGAUGACACAGAGACCCGCGACGGGAAAGAGACGUCCGUCCGACCUGUUUGUUGUCGGCGACAGAGACAGACGCGCGCGAGAGAGGCGGGUGGACUGAGGCCAAAGCUGAACACCGCUGAGGGUUGGAUGGUUAGUGAAGAACGUCGGGGUGGCUGCCAUCUGGGGAGGAAGAAGGAUUUGGGGUGAAAACGGUUUGUAAUUAAGGUUUGGAUAGUUGUUUUGUGAAAUAACUGAAAGGAAAGUUCUAGAUUUAGGGUAAUUUGUGGACUGGUGUUCACUUUUUACUUCGAUUGGGUUAAAUAACUAAUUCAUUAUUCACAUUGUCAA